rnacentral:rRNA from 1 species
UACGGAGGAUCCAAGCGUUAUCCGGAUUUAUUGGGUUUAAAGGGUGCGUAGGCGGAAUUGUAAGUCAGUGGUGAAAUCCCUUCGCUUAACGAAGGAACUGCCAUUGAUACUGCAAAUCUUGAGUACAUUUGAUGUGGGCGGAAUGUGUCAUGUAGCGGUGAAAUGCUUAGAUAUGACACAGAACACCGAUUGCGAAGGCAGCUCACAAAACUGUAACUGACGCUGAGGCACGAAAGCGUGGGUAUCAAACAGG